rnacentral:rRNA from 1 species
CCUACGGGUGGCAGCAGUGGGGAAUAUUGGACAAUGGGCGAAAGCCUGAUCCAGCCAUGCCGCGUGUGUGAAGAAGGCCUUCGGGUUGUAAAGCACUUUCAGUGGGGAAGAAAGCCUUGGGGCUAAUACCCUCGAGGAAGGACAUCACCCACAGAAGAAGCACCGGCUAACUCCGUGCCAGCAGCCGCGGUAAUACGGAGGGUGCGAGCGUUAAUCGGAAUUACUGGGCGUAAAGCGCGCGUAGGCGGUCUGAUAAGCCGGUUGUGAAAGCCCCGGGCUCAACCUGGGAACGGCAUCCGGAACUGUCAGGCUAGAGUGCAGGAGAGGAAGGUAGAAUUCCCGGUGUAGCGGUGAAAUGCGUAGAGAUUGGGAGGAAUACCAGUGGCGAAGGCGGCCUUCUGGACUGACACUGACGCUGAGGUGCGAAAGCGUGGGUAGCAAACAGGAUUAGAUACCCCGGUAGUC